ensembl:lncRNA
UCUCGCCCCCCCAGCCCCCCUUGCUGCUUCGAAACAAAAUAGCUUCUUUCCAAGCAGGUUGUUAUCAUAUUCAUGGCAUGGUCAAUUUCCGUUUGCCAAGAAAAUAUUUAGGCUGAUCAAAGACAUUAGAAAAUCGGAUGAAUAGAAACAGACGUUCCCACAAGAGAAGCGUUUCUCAACGUGAAGAGGCAGGCGGAUUGCAGCCCACCCAGUUACUCCUAGGAAAUAGCUCUCCUGCUAAAGGCAGAACUAUGGGGUCACCUGGAUUCUACUGGAAGGGCUAUGGAAGAGUCCGGAAAUUCACGUGGAGACUGGAGCUUGGGACUCUCCGAUGGCGGACAUGUAAGGAGAUGAUCGCUUCUAGUAUCUAUCAGCAAACCUAGAAGGCCUUUAAUUACAUCCAUUAACACAGAGGGACCUUUCAAGACUGAAGAUGAAGUGUGCGCCCAGGCCAAUCGAUGAAAGAAAGAAGGGCCUUCCACCUCCUCCUUGUUCCUCGGCAAGACGCAGCCAAAUCAGAACAGCAAGUGGAUGGGAAAGAACCUUGACAACACAAAACUCAUUUACUAAUGGACUGGUUUUGGAUUUCUCUCUUUCUGGUCCGCACAUCGCCCCGCCUGAGCCCUCGGCCUAUCCAGAGCUAGCGGGGAGCAGCGUCCCCCAGGAGGCAGGUGGGAGGCUGCUCCGGCGCCGCGCCGCCCUCGGAGCCCGGCAUCCGGAGGGGUCGAGGGCACCUGGAGUUUCCGACCAAGUAAAGGAGAAAGAUGAACGUUGUCACUUCAGCCAGGAUGUGGGAUCCUCAUUGCCCCAGAGGGACGACGCUAAUUUAUUGAUGAAACACCUUCCAAAGCCCUUCCCUCCCAAAUAUCUGUAGGUAGAGUAGAAUCCUUGCUGUAGUUCUUGAUGGCAAAAGAAUUCCAAGAAAGCGGGCCAGAAGCCUCCAAACAGCUCGCUCCAAGCCAGAAGGGAAAUAAGUGGGUCUCAGCCAGAGGACACAAGGCCUUGUUUUAACCCGACCUAGAAACCCUAACACCAACUGAUGCCUCCGCAUCGACCUUUCCACAGACCAGUUGUGUGCACCCGGCGGUUACCUGCACGGAGGAGGCACAGAAGAGCAGAAACCUGGCGUUGGGAGUCCCUUUCUAGCUGUGUUACCCUCGGGACCCACGAAGCGGCGAGGGCAGCAGCUCGUGCUGCUCUUCGCCUUUAAAUCUCCGACGAAUCUCUGUUUUCUUGUGAUUUGCAUUG